rnacentral:rRNA from 1 species
AUUGAACGCUGGCGGCAGGCCUAACACAUGCAAGUCGAGCGAGAGGCGGACGGGUUAUUUAUGUAUCGGGCUGUUCCUGGUGGCGGGGGAUAACUACUGGAAACGGUUGCUACUACCGCAUACCAUCACAUAAACCCAUAUGGGAUUGGCUUGUAGGUGAGGUACCGGCUCACCUAGGCGACGAUCCCUAGCGGGUCUGAGAGGAUGAUCAGCCACACUGGGACUGAGACACGGCCCAGACUCCUACGGGAGGCAGCAGUGGGGAAUAUUGCACAAUGGGCGCAAGCCUGAUGCAGCCAUGCCGCGGGUAUGAAGAAGGCCUUCGGGUUGUAAAGUACUUUCAGUCGGGAGGCGUUACCGACAGAAGAAGCACCGGCUAACUCCGUGCCAGCAGCCGCGGUAAUUC